ACUACUUAUUGUGCGAAGUUUCGUUUUCCACUUUGAAAUUAAUAAAAUCAAAUACUAGAAAUAAAAUUAGCGAUCGGCACCUUGAAGUUGGUUCAAAACCAUGAAAAUAUUGAUUUUUAGUGUUUUGAUAUAGCCGUUUAGGACUUGCGAUUUUUCCUUUGGUUACUUAUUGUAUCCCGCUUACUGCCUUUUUUAAGCAGAAAGGGUUUGCCGGAAAUUUUUCGCAAGUAAUUGCUCGGAUAUUAGUUGCUCCCUGCGUUUGUUAAAUGGUUAUGUUUGAAUACACAAAGUUUUCAACAAUCACGCCGUCAGCAACUCCAUCGUGUUCCAAUAUAAAAUUAUGAAGUAACUAGAAAAGAGAAUGGAAACGUAAUAAGGCCAUUUGCUGUUUUUCGCUCCAGUGUGUUAACGGACUACACUGCUG